rnacentral:rRNA from 1 species
AGUGAACGCUGGCGGUAGGCCUAACACAUGCAAGUCGAACGGCAGCACAGUAAGAGCUUGCUCUUACGGGUGGCGAGUGGCGGACGGGUGAGGAAUACAUCGGAAUCUACUUUUUCGUGGGGGAUAACGUAGGGAAACUUACGCUAAUACCGCAUACGACCUACGGGUGAAAGCAGGGGAUCUUCGGACCUUGCGCGAUUGAAUGAGCCGAUGUCGGAUUAGCUAGUUGGCGGGGUAAAGGCCCACCAAGGCGACGAUCCGUAGCUGGUCUGAGAGGAUGAUCAGCCACACUGGAACUGAGACACGGUCCAGACUCAUACGGGAGGCAGAAGUGGGGAAUAUUGGACAAUGGGCGCAAGCCUGAUCCAGCCAUACCGCGUGGGUGAAGAAGGCCUUCGGGUUGUAAAGCCCUUUUGUUGGGAAAGAAAAGCAGCAGGUUAAUACCCCGCUGUUCUGACGGUACCCAAAGAAUAAGCACCGGCUAACUUCGUG